AACGAACGCUGGCGGCAUGCCUAACACAUGCAAGUCGAACGAGACCUUCGGGUCUAGUGGCGCACGGGUGCGUAACACGUGGGAAUUUGCCUCGGGGUAUGGAAUAACUCAGGGAAACUUGAGCUAAUACCAUAUAAUGUCUUCGGACCAAAGAUUUAUCGCCCUGAGAUAAGCCCGCGUAGGAUUAGCUAGUUGGUGGGGUAAAGGCUCACCAAGGCGACGAUCCUUAGCUGGUCUGAGAGGAUGAUCAGCCACACUGGGACUGAGACACGGCCCAGACUCCUACGGGAGGCAGCAGUGGGGAAUAUUGGACAAUGGGCGAAAGCCUGAUCCAGCAAUGCCGCGUGAGUGAUGAAGGCCUCGGUUGUAAAGCUCUUUACUUCGGGACGAUAAUAGACGGUACCGAGAGAAUAAGCACCGGCUAACUUCGUAGCCAG
rnacentral:rRNA from 1 species